GUGUUCAACAUGUUUAAUAAAUGAGCUGAGCACGAGCUAACUCGUUAACAUAUCGAGCUGAAAUUAAAAUUCAGCUCGUGUUGGUACCCAAGUUCCCAAGCUCGAAUCCUAGUUAAUUCACAUUUCCAGCUAAGUUUAUUUCUAAAAGAAAUAAACGAAGCGGGUAGCAUGCUAUCUAUCUCUCAAAAAAAAAAUUCAGCUCGUGUUCGGAUUGUUUAUUAAUGAACCGAACACGA
rnacentral:lncRNA from 1 species